CACACACACACACACACACACACACACACACACACACACACUCCAUCAGACAGCUACACACAAGUCCAUGUGCUCAGGAGAGAAUUUUUUUAGAAUUGAAACUUUUAGUGUUGUAGAAAGUUCGGAGUCGUGAAAUGAUCGACUUUCAUCCUGUUUAAUUCGAUUCUCUGAAAUCUGUUUGUUCAUAUUGAGGAAUCACAUCAUCCUGCUCGGGGUCACGGCCGAUCCGGAGUCCGUCCUGGGAACGGCAGGCAGACGUGAGGCCCAGGUGUCCUGUUCUCAGGCAGUGUGGACUGACCUUGGCUGCUUGCUUCACCUUCUCACUUUAAUAAACAUCAUGAGUGUCCUGCAGACAGAUGAGCUGUGGAUGUGAUAGAGUGACUCCGUGGAGCUCAGAGCUGCUGAUCGAGACUGGCCAGAGCAGGACAGAGGAAUUUAACACAUCACACGGUGCAGCAGAGUUAAAAAUAAAACCUCACAUCUUCUGUUCUGUCUCCUGCAUUUUCACAUUCUCUUUACCACACAAACACACACACACACACACACA